AUAACGUAUUGGGAAGCGGCACGCUUCCCGUGUAUGAUUGAACCCGUCGGCGCGCAGGCGUCAGGGUUCAUUUUUGU
rfam:Pluralibacter gergoviae strain JS81F13 contig_17, whole genome shotgun sequence.